GGUGUUACAACUGAGGGCUUUUAGACCCCUAAAUUCCCAAAGGACAUGGAGCCGCCAUCCAAUGAACAUGACAUGAAGAGAUUGUAGGGUUGUGCCCACCCAUGGAACUCAAGAAAGGGAAACAAGGAUAAAAAGAAGAAGAACAAGAAGGAGGAGAAGAAUUCAGCUGCUCUCACUCUCCCUUCCCCUUUUUCUGUUGCUCCCUCUUCUCUCCAUCUGUCAUGUGGGGCUUUGGAAUGCUUUUGAAUUGAUGGAUGAAUGUAAUUUAGGGGGGGAGGGUAAUG
rnacentral:lncRNA from 1 species